UAUUAGAAUGCGUUGCGUGAGGGAUGGCAGCGAAAAUCCUUUAUGUUUUUUCUUUAAAAACAUAAAGAUUGCAGCGAACAGCCCGACCCGAA
rnacentral:sRNA from 1 species